AAAUCUCACAAUUAUUGUGGUGUUGAGUAUAUCAUUUGAUUAACUCGAAAUGCAGUGGUGAAUAAGUGUAAGCAGUGCUAUUAACAUCUCACUGUGGAAGCCUAAAGCGCCUAACAUUUUCUA
rnacentral:misc_RNA from 1 species